GAUGAACGCUGGCGGCGUGCCUAAUACAUGCAAGUCGAGCGAACAGACGAGGAGCUUGCUCCUCUGACGUUAGCGGCGGACGGGUGAGUAACACGUGGAUAACCUACCUAUAAGACUGGGAUAACUUCGGGAAACCGGAGCUAAUACCGGAUAAUAUAUUGAACCGCAUGGUUCAAUAGUGAAAGACGGUUUUGCUGUCACUUAUAGAUGGAUCCGCGCCGCAUUAGCUAGUUGGUAAGGUAACGGCUUACCAAGGCAACGAUGCGUAGCCGACCUGAGAGGGUGAUCGGCCACACGGGAACUGAGACACGGUCCAGACUCCUACGGGAGGCAGCAGUAGGGAAUCUUCGGCAAGGGGCGAAAGCCUGAAGGAGCAACGCCGCGUGAGUGAUGAAGGUCUUCGGAUCGAAAAACUCUGUUAUGAGGGAAGAAAAAAUGUGUAAGAACCUGUGCACGUCUUGACGGUACCUAAUCAGAAAGCCACGGCUAACUACGUG
rnacentral:rRNA from 1 species